rnacentral:rRNA from 1 species
UACGUAGGGUGCAAGCGUUAAUCGGAAUUACUGGGCGUAAAGCGUGCGCAGGCGGUUAUAUAAGACAGAUGUGAAAUCCCCGGGCUCAACCUGGGAACUGCAUUUGUGACUGUAUAGCUAGAGUACGGCAGAGGGGGAUGGAAUUCCGCGUGUAGCAGUGAAAUGCGUAGAUAUGCGGAGGAACACCGAUGGCGAAGGCAAUCCCCUGGGCCUGUACUGACGCUCAUGCCCGAAAGCGCCUGGAGCUAACCGCAUCAGAUGGCCCUGUAGUCC